rnacentral:rRNA from 1 species
UACGUAGGGACCGAGCGUUGUCCGGAUUCAUUGGGCGUAAAGAGCUCGUAGGCGGCCACUCAAGUCGAAUGUGAAACCUCGAGGCUUAACCUCGAGCCUGCAUUCGAUACUGGGCGGCUAGAGUCUGGUAGGGGGAUCUGGAAUUCCUGGUGUAGCGGUGGAAUGCGCAGAUAUCAGGAGGAACACCGGUGGCGAAGGCAUCCCGUCGGCCUGCACUGACGCUCAUGCACGAAAGCGUGGGGAGCAAACAGG